rnacentral:rRNA from 1 species
AGAGUUUGAUCCUGGCUCAGAUUGAACGCUGGCGGCAGGCUAACACAUGCAAGUCGAGCGGAUGAGUGGAGCUUGCUCCAUGAUUCAGCGGCGGACGGGUGAGUAAUGCCUAGGAAUCUGCCUGGUAGUGGGGGGCGACGUUUCGAAAGGAACGCUAAUACCGCAUACGUCCUACGGGAGAAAGCAGGGGACUUUCGGGCCUUGCGCUGUCAGAUGAGCCUAGGUCGGAUUAGCUAGUUGGUGAGGUAACGGCUCACCAAGGCGACGAUCCGUAACUGGUCUGAGAGGAUGAUCAGUCACACUGGAACUGAGACACGGUCCAGACUCCUACGGGAGGCAGCAGUGGGGAAUAUUGGACAAUGGGCGAAAGCCUGAUCCAGCCAUGCCGCGUGUGUGAAGAAGGUCUUCGGAUUGUAAAGCACUUUAAGUUGGGAGGAAGGGCAGUAAGUUAAUACCUUGCUGUUUUGACGUUACCGACAGAAUAAGCACCGGCUAACUUCGUGCCAGCAGCCGCGGUAAUACGAAGGGUGCAAGCGUUAAUCGGAAUUACUGGGCGUAAAGCGCGCGUAGGUGGUUCAGCAAGUUGGAUGUGAAAGCCCCGGGCUCGACCUGGGAACUGCAUCCAAAACUACUGAGCUAGAGUACGGUAGAGGGUGGUGGAAUUUCCUGUGUAGCGGUGAAAUGCGUAGAUAUAGGAAGG